rnacentral:rRNA from 1 species
GAUGAACGCUGACAGAAUGCUUAACACAUGCAAGUCAACUGUGGCGGACGGGUGAGUAACGCGUAAAGAACUUGCCUCACAGCUAGGGACAACAUUUGGAAACGAAUGCUAAUACCUGAUACUGUGAGAGAGCUUUGCGUCCCAUUAGCUAUGUGGAGAGGUAACGGCUCACCAAGGCGAUGAUGGGUAGCCGGCCUGAGAGGGUGAUCGUCCACAAGGGGACUGAGACACGGCCCUUACUCCUACGGGAGGCAGCAGUGGGGAAUAUUGGACAAUGGACAAAAGUCUGAUACAGCAAUUCUGUGUGCACGAUGAAGUUUUCGGAGUGUAAAGUGCUUUCAGUGGGGAAGCGGUACCAACAGAAGAAGUGACGGCUAAAUACGUGCCAGCAGCCGCGGUAGUUC